rnacentral:rRNA from 1 species
AGGACGAACGCUGGCGGCGUGCCUAAUACAUGCAAGUCGAACGGCUUUUCUAUGGAAGCUUGCUUCCACUGAGAAGAUAGUGGCGAACGGGUGAGUAACACGUGGGUAACCCUGCCCAUAAGAGGGGGAUAACAUCCGGAAACGGGUGCUAAUACCGCAUAGUUUUCUUGAUUGCAUGAUUGAGAAAGGAAAGACGGCCUUUGUGCUGUCGCUUAUGGAUGGACCCGCGGCGUAUUAGUUAGUUGGUGAGGUAACGGCUCACCAAGACGAUGAUACGUAGCCGACCUGAGAGGGUGAUCGGCCACAUUGGGACUGAGACACGGCCCAAACUCCUACGGGAGGCAGCAGUAGGGAAUCUUCCGCAAUGGACGAAAGUCUGACGGAGCAACGCCGCGUGAGUGAAGAAAAGGUUUUCGGAUCGUAAAACUCUGUUGUCAGAGAAGAACAAGUUGGAGAGUAACUGCUCCAGCCUUGACGGUAUCUGACCAGAAAGCCACGGCUAACUACGUGCCAGCCGCAGC